AAAAAAAAAAAAAAAGACUUGACAGAAUGCACAAUACUAAGAGUUGCCCAUCUAAUGCCCAAGUGUACAUGUCAUAGCAAGUGUUCAAGGUAAUCUCUAACUGGCCCUAGAGCAGUUUUCUCAGCAAAUAUUGUUCCAAAAGCUGUUCUGUAGCUAGAUUUGUGGAUACAUUUUGAAACAAUAUUGCAUAUUUCCUUCCAAUGUUGUCCCUCAACCAUAUGCUACAAUACAAAAUUGUCUAUGUUCACUCCUAGAUCUAUAACUUGGCUUAAUCGUAUCAAAAGGUUUCUGUAUCUACAAUAAAAUACAGAGGUCUAGCUGCAUCUUACAAAUAGUAUAAAACUAAACCAGCACACCUGUAUUGCUUUUACAGACUUCAAUGUGUACAACAGCAUGCCAACUCACAGGUCUUCUCAUAGUGCCUGCACAUCAAAUAAUGGGUGAAAAACAGCCUUUGUUGACAAACAUGUGGUUUCAAGAGAAAUGUGUGCUUGGUAUAUAGAAAAGGUUCUCCCUAGUUGAGACUUCAAACCCAGUUAGAAGGUAACACAAUGAUCUAGCACUGAGUUCCUUGUUAUGGUUUGGAUAGAAUCAGUGAUGCUUGAGGAUAAAAUGUUUAUAAUCAAAGCAGUUCUUACAUCAACAUCUUCAGUCAAAGACACUUUCAAGCAAGGGGGUUGAUUCUACAUAUACAGUUAAUGCUGGGUGCCUCAGUCUAGUCGGCCUGGGUUUUUUUUUUUUUAUGGUCAGGGACUGUCUCAAGUGAGGUUUAAUAACCUUUAGAGGUGAAGAGUCACUGACAUGUAUCACACACAGGUUUGACCUUAUGAAACUUGCAAGUCAUCAUAGAAGUGUGCUCAGCCCUUCAGGUACAAGUCAAUCUGAAUGUGGGUUAAGCCUGUCAAUAUACAGAUCUUGCACUUAACUUGUUUAAAACAUGUCAGACCAGGGAAAGCUCUUGGCUCAGAGGAAGGUGGGGCUUAGACCAGGACAGCUCUAGGCUCACAGAGGAACUGGCAGUAAAAAAAAUUGGUGCACCCAUAGACCGCUAAUAUAAAUGUAAAAUAUACAUAUAUAUAUAUAUAUAUACAU